GGCGUCGUAGCUCAAUUGGUAAAGCGUGCGCUGUACAAAAGCGUAAGCGGCAUCCAUUCGUAGGUUUGAAUCCUACCGAGGCUA
rfam:Echinostoma caproni strain Egypt genome assembly, scaffold: ECPE_scaffold0003285